GAUUAGGAGCAAAGUUGCGGCAAUGCACUUUUGUUCCCAACUGCGUCGUAUUUUACAGUGUAAAACAGAGACGACUAUCAGAAUUUCUUUUGCCGAAAUUGAAGUAAUUGUGAAAUUGUGAUGUUAUUUGACGUUGAACUUAGUGUUGUGUAACCCUAGAGACUCAUGUGAGUUGUGACUUGGGCUCUUCGUGAACUUUGUGAAGAUUAUGUGAAGAGACUUCUGAAAUUCUGCUUAGCCUGUUAAGAUGACAGCUGCUCUCCUUUUUCUGACUGGCUGAAUGAAUCUGUUCCCACUUCCAGUGUGUCUCUGUUGCCUCACGCAUUACUCUCCUUUGCUCUGUUGAAAAAUAUGGAAGUUAAUAACACCGGGAGAGGGAUACCAGUUCCCAUCCUUAUAAUCCAUAAGGACUUCAAAUCUGAAGAACUACUGACUUGCGAAAGAACCGUGUUUGUUCAUCCGAAUGAACAUAAUAGCUAUCAGCAACUUCUGAAUUUCAUUCGGAGUUUCCCAGAGACGGCAAAAUAUACCGAGGAUGAUUAUACUAUCAGUUACUUUGACACGGAUAAUGAUCAGAUUCCAGUGCAAAGUGAAACCGAGUUUUCGGAAUACCUGAAAGUAUGCAUGCUUGCGCAGUCGGAAGGCAAAGUUCGUUCGUUGGUCAUUUAUGAUAAAGGGCUGCCUAAGAAUCGAAUUGACUGUUGUUUCAAUGACAGCCCUCAACCUAUGAAAGCAUCACAUAAACAUAAAUUGUCAAUAGAGCACGCAGCUUCGAUUAACAUUGGUAGUGCUUUCACCAACAUGUCACUAAAUGAAAAUUCUGGUGAAAUCAGUGAUGACAACCUUGUCAACUCAGGCGGAGCCCCUUUGUGGUUUUCAAGAGAGAUGGAUAAGUUUAAAGCAGAAAUCAUGAAAAAUAUGUCUACCCACCUAGAAAGCUUCACUAAAGAAUUUCAUCUUGCUUUGGAGAAAGCCAUAAGAGGAGACGAGCCAAAGAAACUGAAGAAAAACAAAGAAAAGAAGAGAAGUGAAAAGAAAGAGAAAACCAAACUACUCGGGAGUGCCGGUACAUCCAAAACAAUGAAAGACAAGCAAACAAAAAUCAAUGAAACAUUGAAAGGAUGGGCUAUCAAUGAAACACUGACCAACUCUAAGAAGAAAGACACUGAGCGUCUUAAGACCAAAUGUAGUGAUCUUUCCCAAUCCUCCAGCGAUAGUGACAACCGCGACGGUCAGGAAGAAUCUGAUGAUAUUGUGAUCGUUGGUUUCAAUUCCUCCUUUGACGAGAUUUCUGACACUGACUUGAGUUUCGUAAAUGGAGAGGAGCUUGCAAAAGAAAUGCCCACGGAUGGAAAGGCCGUUGAUGUCGAGCUUCCUCCAUGCUUCUUCCCUGAGAUACCUGUAACAUUCAAAGACAACAUACCUUUGCAGUUGAAUCAGAAUGACUUGAAAGGAUUAAAAUCUACAAUUCCAAAUAGUCGGGCUUUUCCCUUAAUAAGAAAAGCAGGUCAAAAGACAAGAAACAUGAUGAGAAUGUAUCCAUGGCAGAUGAAGAAGAUAUUCAUCAUUCCUCAAAGGACAAGAAACAAUCAGAGAAAUCGAAAAAGCAUUGGAGUAAACUGGAGGAGAAGUUUAAAACUCUUCAAAAUUCAUGUAAAAAUGAAGAAGACCGUUGGAAAGUUUUGGAAGCAGAAUUAA
rnacentral:lncRNA from 1 species